GACGAACGCUGGCGGCGUGCUUAACACAUGCAAGUCGAACGGAAAGGCCCUGCUUUUGUGGGGUGCUCGAGUGGCGAACGGGUGAGUAACACGUGAGUAACCUGCCCUUGACUUUGGGAUAACUUCAGGAAACUGGGGCUAAUACCGGAUAGGAGCUCCUGCUGCAUGGUGGGGGUUGGAGAGUUUCGGCGGUUGGGGAUGGACUCGCGGCUUAUCAGCUUGUUGGUGGGGUAGUGGCUUACCAAGGCUUUGACGGGUAGCCGGCCUGAGAGGGUGACCGGCCACAUUGGGACUGAGAUACGGCCCAGACUCCUACGGGAGGCAGCAGUGGGGAAUAUUGCACAAUGGGCGGAAGCCUGAUGCAGCAACGCCGCGUGCGGGAUGACGGCCUUCGGGUUGUAAACCGCUUUCGCCUGUGACGAAGCGUGAGUGACGGCAAUGGGUAAAGAAGCACCGGCUAACUACGUG
rnacentral:rRNA from 1 species